UACGUAGGGUGCAAGCGUUGUCCGGAAUUAUUGGGCGUAAAGAGCCCGUAGGCGGUCUGUCGCGUCUGCUGUGAAAACUCAGGGCUUAACCCUGAGCUUGCAGUGGGUACGGGCAGACUAGAGUGCGGUAGGGGAGACUGGAAUUCCUGGUAGUAGCGGUGAAAUGCGCAGAUAUCAGGAGGAACACCGGUGGCGAAGGCGGGUCUCUGGGCAGUAACUGACGCUGAGGAGCGAAAGCGUGGGGAGCGAACAGGA
rnacentral:rRNA from 1 species